GGGCGAAUGGUUUAGUGGUAUAAUACUCCCUUAGCAAGUUUCUCUCUUCAAGAGUCUUCCUUCUGGGAGUGGUCCAGGGUUCGAUUCCCUGUUCGUCCA
rnacentral:tRNA from 2 species